rnacentral:rRNA from 1 species
CCUACGGGGCGCAGCAGUGAGGAAUAUUGGUCAAUGGGCGGGAGCCUGAACCAGCCAAGUCGCGUGAGGGAAGACGGUCCUAUGGAUUGUAAACCUCUUUAGGCGGGGAGCAAUGCCGGGCACGCGUGCCCGGUGGGAGAGUACCCGCAGAAUAAGCAUCGGCUAACUCCGUGCUAGCAGCCGCGGUAAUACGGGGGAUGCGAGCGUUAUCCGGCUUUAUGGGGUUAAAAGGGUGCGUAGGCGGAUUUUUAAGUCAGCGGUAAAAUGUCCGGGCUGAACCCGGGCCGGCCGUUGAAACUGGGGAUCUUGAGUGGGCGAGAGGUAUGCGGAAUGCGUGGUGUAGCGGUGAAAUGCAUAGAUAUCACGCAGAACUCCGAUUGCGAAGGCAGCAUACCGGCGCCCGACUGACGCUGAGGCGCGAAAGCGUGGGGAUCGAACAGGAUUAGAUACCCCAGUAGUC